rnacentral:tRNA from 4 species
UGGCCGAUGGUGUAACGGUAGCACAGCAGAUUUUGGUUCUGUUUGUCCAGGUUCGAAUCCUGGUCGGCCAG